UACCGGCGGCCCGAGUGGUGGCCACUAUUGCUGGGCUUAAAGCGUUCGUAGCUGGUUUGUUAAGUCUCUGGGGAAAUCUUCCGGCUUAACCGGAAGGCGUUUCAGGGAUACCGGCAGACUAGGGACCGGAAGAGGUGAGAGGUACUCCAGGGGUAGGAGUGAAAUCCUGUAAUCCUUGGGGGACCACCUGUGGCGAAGGCGUCUCACCAGGACGGCUCCGACAGUGAGGGACGAAAGCUGGGGGAGCAAA
rnacentral:rRNA from 1 species